rnacentral:lncRNA from 1 species
AGAUAUAUGCAUGCAGACAAUGAAUGCCUAGAGCCAAAUGAGACUGUUCCUGGGCCUAGGAAGCAAAAUCUGUUUUGCUGACUGUUGAUUUAGCAAGGUUAUGGGAUUCUGCAAAAGCUGCACUUUAACAACGGAUACAAGAGCCAAGAAAUGGCCUUUGUAGACUUUAAGCAAAACGCUGCUCCUGAGUAUCAGAAGUGGAUUCACAGCCUUGUGAGUUUCAACAAAGAGCCCACUCCAAAGCUUUAGUCUGCAUAGUAGGUCUUAGGUGCAGGCUGCUGUCACUUUAUCUUAAACUACUUAGACUUCCCUUAUAUAUUCAUGGCUAGAGCCAAGUCAUGAUUAUAUAAGGAAGUGUCCGGAUGGAGCUUUGGGUAUUGGUGAGCAGCAUUGUAUUUAUUUACUACCUUAUCUAUGAAGUGAAUUAUUUCUAUGGACAUUGUAGUCAGGGUUUAGUUUUAAAUUGUUAGUGCUUGGUCCAGGUAGACAGUAUUGGAUCAAGUGCCAUCCUGCCGAGAGGUUCCAAAGAAAAUUCAUGAGACUUAGACUCAGGAUUAAGAGCUAUAAAACUCUCAAACUAGUAAGUGAGUUACAAAGAUAUUGAAGGUAGAAAUACAGUGCAUCUUCAAAGAUAUUUAUGGAAUUAAGAUUUUGUGGAAAAAAGAGAGCCAGGCAGGACAAGUAUAUAUAGAUCAAGGCCAAGGCUGAGUUAUAAAUAUUAUUCUGAUGAGGGAAAACCCACAGGGUAUUUUCAAGGACAUUUUCAAACAAAAAUGUGAAGGGGAGAAAUAAUAUUUGAACAGUGGGUGGUUUUGGCAGACUCAGAACUUACCAUUUUAGGAAUAUGAAAGAAAAAAACAAAUGUUUGGGCCACAAAGUAAAAGGGAAAAAAGCACUGAGACCCAGGAGAGAAAAUGCUACUUCUACUGUGUUAGAAAUGAAAUAACAAAUCUUAGUAACUGUCUGGACAAAGGACAUCCUAUAUACAAAGAAAUACUGUGUAUGAGUUUUCUUAAUUUUUAUGUAACGUUGCUCAUGUACUUCAGGACUAUUCACCCCCAGACGACAGUGAAGGAUCCUCACCGCCACACAGCCACAGGCUCAUGCUCCAUGGUGUACCUUCUGGAGGAAGACCUGCAGCUAGUCCAACAAGUCAACAUGUCAUUUUUGUUUCCAGAAGACUAUAAUUAUAAAACCUCUACAUCCUCUUUAUGA